UACGUAGGGUGCAAGCGUUAAUCGGAAUUACUGGGCGUAAAGCGUGCGCAGGCGGUUUUGUAAGUUUGUCGUGAAAGCCCCGGGCUCAACCUGGGAAUUGCGAUGAAGACUGCAAGGCUUGAAUCUGGCAGAGGGGGGUAGAAUUCCACGUGUAGCAGUGAAAUGCGUAGAGAUGUGGAGGAACACCGAUGGCGAAGGCAG
rnacentral:rRNA from 1 species